GUCUACGGCCAUACCACCCUGAACGCACCUGAUCUCGUCUGAUCUUGGAAGCUGAGCAGGGUCGGGCCUGGGUAGUACUUUGAUGGGAGAACGAGUAACCAGUGCAUUCUCUCCCAGACCGGGCAGGGUAGACG
rnacentral:rRNA from 1 species